UCCCCGUUAUCCUGGGCAGUCCUUCCAGAGUUCCCGGCAUAACCCGUUGGCAACUGGAAGCAGGGGUUGCGUUCGUUGCGGGACUUAACCCAACAUCUCACGACACGAGCUGACGACAGCCAUGCAGCACCUGUGUUCCGGGCUCCGAAGAGAAGGUCACAUCUCUGCGACCGGUCCCGGACAUGUCAAGGGCUGGUAAGGUUCUUCGCGUUGCUUCGAAUUAAACCACAUAAUCCACCGCUUGUGCGGGUCCCCGUCAAUUCCUUUGAGUUUUAACCUUGCGGCCGUACUCCCCAGGCGGUCGACUUCACGCGUUAGCUUCGUUACUGAGAGUGUCAAACCCCCAACAACCAGUCGACAUCGUUUAGGGCGUGGACUAC
rnacentral:misc_RNA from 1 species